GGAAGGGCCCUGGGGGGGUCCCGGUUGUCUCCGAGCCCUGCCAUAGCGUCGCGGACCCGUCCCGGUGGGGGGUGCCGUGUGUGUGAAACGGGGGCCGGAGCCGGAGGCCGCAGCAGCGGGGCGGCAAGCCCCGGCAGGCCGUCGGGGGCCGGGCAGCCCGGCGGUUGCGGUGACUCAUCCCCACUUCCUCCGCGGAUCUGGGUCAGGGGUGCGCAGACGUUUUCGUGCCACCGGCCGCACCUCCGACGGGGCCCCGAUACGAUCUUUCCCGCAGGAGCUGGGGAGGGAGGAACGUUAACCCUUCUGCUGCGGACCCCCGGCCGCGCUCCGGGCAUCCUUUGCCGUGUGCGGGGUCACCGCAGGUGGGAUUAUCUAAAUGCACCUGGUUAAACCAAUGCAUAGAAACGGGAACAAAGGAAUUAAUAAAUUAACUUUUCCCAUGAGAUUCCCUGAACAACUGUAUUCAUGUAAAAAAAGUCUUGUGAGCUGCCAGCUUGCAACUACCUUCGCUGUCUCUGACAUAAGCCUCAGGACUUCUUAUUCAGUGGUUUUAGACACCUGCAAGUGAGCUAGUUCUUAGAAGGAGAAAAAAAAAUAAAUCUUGGGUGAAGCAAGUUUUUAAUCGAGGGUAAAUGAAGUGACAGGAACUGCACUGUAUUUGUAAUGCCAACACCGAUCUUUCAUCAGUUAUUUUCCACGUGGGAUUAGAUGCAGCUUCAUAUCGGGUUAUUUGGGUACUUGUUUCAGAAAAGCGAGAUAAUGCUUAUUUUCGUUCAUAACCGUUAAUAAGCGUAAAUGGGUAUGCUUCCCAUUUUACUGGGGCGGGGAAGUGAAGGUGGAACACGUGUACUGGAGGCUUUUGCAAGGGAAGAGCAGCAGACCAGAGCCAGGAUCCAGGCCUCACCACCCCCCCAGCACGCCUGCUCCUGGAGUCUGUUCAGCCUAUGGUCAGGGAAGUUCCAACAAACUCAACUUUUCAUGGUUCUUUUCCACUCCAGAUUAAAGAUUCACAAUUUCUUUUAACAACUUUGUGCUCAAUACCCUUUAUAUGAACACAAGUUUUCUUGUUACAAUUUCAGCUACGUAGAACCAAGGGUUAAUACCGCAGCUCACAACCAGUUGUUACUCUGGUUAAUGACUUCUCCUGGAGCACUAAGAGCCACUGGCUUCACCUGAGGCCAUUCAGAACUUUAUGGUUAACAACUAAGGGCUGGAUCCUUCUGAAGCGAUGCUUUAAUCCAGACAGGAACACGCAGAGAUGCGUGCAUCUCCACUUUACUUACUGUGUGUCAUCAGGAAAGUCUGAGAACAGGUCUGGCACAAGAUGCAUUUUAUUACCUAGAAGCGAGGUAGUUAUUUCUGGAAAUCUCUUCAAUAAUUUUUUUUCCUUGUCCUGGUCAGAAUUUUACUGAGGUGACUGCAAGCUUUGCCUUCUGCAAAGGCAGCAUCCAGUAGUCCUAGCAAACACUGGGAGAGCUGUUUUCUCUUUUAUUCCACGUAAACCCUUAGUUUGAAAUAAAACCUAAUAAUUUGACAAAAGCAAACUUAGUCACUUGUUGUGCGGCAGGCUGGCAUCUUAAUUUUGUCAGCUGAUGACAAGCCUCUACGCAGUAGAAUACAGAGGAUCUACUCUAGACGCAUUUCCUGGGCAAAUACCAGACUUUUGUACCUCUUCCUAAUGCAUUUUAGAUGUGUUUCACAAGUUUUGCCGCCAGGUCCGGCCUCUGGAGGAGAUUCCACAGCCGGUCCCUGACCGAGGCAGGAUGGAGGUAAGGUGGCGACAGCUCAGUUUAUGCCAGAUGCAAUUUUUUUUUCUGAGGAAGGAACUGCAGAUAACCAGGGUAAGGAGAGUGGAGUUUCAGCAUAGCUGAGUUUCACCAGCUCUUGCUCAAGUCUUUAUUUUGGACAGAAAGGAAGCUGCUGUUUAGGUGAAAAUUUUCAUCUAGUGGGUAACCUGUGGGAGCAGAACCAUGCUGAAAUGCAAGGGACUAGCGUAGCAUCUCAGAUGACAGUUUGGAAAGGGACAGUCUGCAGCUUAAUUUUUAGUUUCUUCAAAAAUUCACUUCCAGACAAAUUAAUUCCACAGUUUUCUUUUUCCUUUGAAAGUUAAGCUCAAAAUGUAAAAAUACCUGCCAGAAAAUUUUGGGAUAAAAGACACAAACCCCAAUCUUCCUUAAACCAGAUCCCAUUUGUGAAGAUCAAAUACAGUUGCCAUCCUUCUCGAGCGCACAACUGCAGUGAAAAACACUUCUGUCCUAGACCAAGCAGGAGCCCUCAGCCCAGCUGCAGGCAGCGAUCUAUCCCCAAUCCCCCCCUGCGGCUUCCUGCCCUCCCAUCCCACACCUUCCACCGCCAGAAAACGAGAGGAAACAAGGCAACAAAGUCAUGCCCCCGGUUCCAUCUCACGACAUGAGUUACUGUAUUUACAGCUUCAGGAAGGAGCGCUGGCAGAAGGAGACUGGCCAGGCUGGUGGUGGGUCCAUUCUGUGCCUGGAACUGUACAGGAGGUGGUCCAUCUGUCCACUGCAAGAUAACAAACAGCAUGAAAAUCCUACAGCCGCUGCCUGGGGAGGGGAGGAAUGGAGGAAUGGCAGCAAGGCCGGAGGAAGGAGCUCGCCAUAUAGACGUUCGCUACCUCGAGAUAAUUAAAGAUUUCAUCACGAGAAGUUGCGUAUCAGGUUUGACUUUGGUCUACAUGCGUGGAGCUCCCAUCCCUUGAACAGUAUUUCUUUUGAAGCCCGUGAUUCCAAACCUGACUCCCAUGCCGAAUCCAGGGUGGAUGGCGAUCAAGUGAAAGCAUUUCCUGCUCAAACGGCUGACCGUCCACACAUGGGAAACCACGACUCGCACAAACAAGGGACCUGACUUCAGAUGCGUUUGAGCCCAUUAAGCACUGCAGCCAUAGCA